ACCUUACAACUUUUCAAUUUGUCGGUGUAGGGUUUUUUUUUUCUUUCUUACCGACCUAAAUACUCGUACUGUUUACUGUCUUGUCCGAUCGACUCUGAUUCCGCUUAAAAGUUACUUUCAAGCCUUACAACUGAAUGAAAGGUUUUUCACGGUUCAACGAACGAUUAAAUUAAUAAAUGUAGUACGGAUAGGGAAAGAAUGGAAAUAGGUAACAGACAUUCGAUAGUUUCAUAUCCCUGACUUGACUCACGGAGGAUAAACUCUGUCGGCAUUCCUCAGCCUCGAUACCUGCUGCAAGGGUUAAUAAUGAAUUUCAUCGUGUCAAUAUAAUUCGACGAAAAUAUUGUCGUUGGAUCAGAAGAAAUUCAAACAAACCAACGAAGAGUAUCAAUAUCCUUGUUGCACGUUACGUUACUUAUACUCGAAUGUAUAGUUAUCGAACCUUAAAUUUCUCUCCACAUUAUCGUACGAUAAUUCUCAGUAUACUCAAAUCGUUCGUCUUUUUUCUAACGAUUAUUAUACAUCUAUAGCGAGGCAGGUAAUUCGUCAGUCACAACAUAUUAUCGCGAGAUCCGGGGAUGCCGGAGAGUCUGGCGGUGGAAUCUGCAAUUCGAGAGUCGGUAAAACCGGUUCGACGUUUGGAAAUUUUGCCACAUGCAUGUCAAAGCUGUUUCUCGUUCCGGUUUAAAAUAGGAAUUGGGACCCUGUGAGGUAGACCAUGUUACACAUGAAUAUCAGCUUGUGGUCUUCAAAUCUCACGAGAUUGAAGUUAGUAACGUUAUCGUAACGAAACAUUGGAAAAAAUCACUAUUUUCAUAUUUUCACACCAUGACAUUGAAGGAACGAACAUUUCAAAUAAUUCGAAAAUCACGAAGUAACGGUUUUUCCUCAUCACGAAUCGUUACGAUAACGCUACCAACUUCAGCAUGGUCAAAUCUUACGGUUCUUGUCAUAUCGUGAGCUAGACAAAGUAAAACCGAUCGGGAACCGCGUUCUGACGGUUAAGGAAUAUUAACCCGGUUCGAUUGCACCAGUUUUUCCGCCGCUAUCUUCAGCCUACUACCUACUCGAUACAACCGCUCCAAAUUCCCAGAGUGCAACGCGUGAUGUGUAUCAAGUGUGUGAAGUGAGCCACCAGACAGUUUGAACAGUGCUGCGCUGAGAGAUAUUUUCUUAUCUCGUGUCAUGUCGACAAGUACGGCAGCCAUCAAAGUGGGAGUGAAACGAGUUCUUCGUUAAUGAGAUCCCGGAUCGAUUGCGCUGUUUUAUCUUUUUUUUCUUGUUCAAGGUGUACAGAUUUCCCUCUUAUAUGCCCUGAAAUGAUCGCUGGUCAGUGUAACAAGCACGGAUACGUAUAAUAGUACAUACUCUAAAGUAAAAGAACGACAAGUGACCGCUGAUGACAAUGUGAAAUUGACGAGGUAACCAGUACCGUCUAGCGUCUGUAAUAAAUAACAACCGUGAUCGUUGUACGCAACUCAUCGAGCAUCGAAGCUAUUCCGUGAAAUAAUGAAGAAGAAAGCUUGAUAACUCUAC